rnacentral:rRNA from 1 species
GACGAACGCUGGCGGCGUGCUUAACACAUGCAAGUCGAACGGUGAAGCGCCUUCCUUUUUGGUGGGUGUGGAUGAGUGGCGAACGGGUGAGUAACACGUGAGUAACCUGCCCCCUUCUUCUGGAUAACCGCAUGAAAGUGUGGCUAAUACGUGAUAUUCUGGGUCUGUCGCAUGAUGGGUCUGGGAAAGAUAUUGUUUCGGUGGGGGAUGGGCUCGCGGCCUAUCAGCUUGUUGGUGGGGUGAUGGCCUACCAAGGCGGUGACGGGUAGCCGGCCUGAGAGGAUGGACGGACACACUGGGGCUGAACGACGGACCAGACUCCUACGGGAGGCAGCAGUGGGGAAUAUUGAACGGUGGGCGGAAGGCUGAUGCAGCGACGCCGCGUGGGGGAUGGAGGCCUUCGGGUUGUGAACCUCUUUCGCCAGUGAAGCAGGGCUGCCUCGUUUGUGGGUGGGUUGACGGUAGCUGGAUAAGAAGCGCCGGCUAACUACGUG